UCAGUGCUCUGUACAGGCAGAAGUUAGUAAGUAUGAGACAAUCUUUACUGAACUGAUCGGGUCCAUUGAGAGAAUACUCACUGAGGUGAAAAGGUUGAUUAGAGGCCAGGAGAAGACUGCAGUGAGACGGGCUGAAGGACAUCUGGAGCAACUGGAGCAGGAGAUAGCUGAGCUGAGGAAGAGAAGCACUGAGCUGGAGCAGCUCUCACACACAGAGGAUCACAUCCAUUUCCUCCAGCUGAAGACCAAAGAAGAGUUGUCCCUCUUCAGACGUCCUCCAGCUGACAUUGGAUCUGAAUACAGCUCAUCCAGAACUCAG